AGUGAACGCUGGCGGUAGGCCUAACACAUGCAAGUCGAACGGCAGCACAGUAAGAGCUUGCUCUUACGGGUGGCGAGUGGCGGACGGGUGAGGAAUACAUCGGAAUCUACUUUUUCGUGGGGGAUAACGUAGGGAAACUUACGCUAAUACCGCAUACGACCUACGGGUGAAAGCAGGGGAUCUUCGGACCUUGCGCGAUUGAAUGAGCCGAUGUCGGAUUAGCUAGUUGGCGGGGUAAAGGCCCACCAAGGCGACGAUCCGUAGCUGGUCUGAGAGGAUGAUCAGCCACACUGGAACUGAGACACGUUACAGACUCCUACGGGAGGCAGCAGUGGGGAAUAUUGGACAAUGGGCGCAAGCCUGAUCCAGCCAUACCGCGUGGGUGAAGAAGGCCUUCGGGUUGUAAAGCCCUUUUGUUGGGAAAGAAAAGCAGCAGGUUAAUACCCCGCUGUUCUGACGGUACCCAAAGAAUAAGCACCGGCUAACUUCGUG
rnacentral:rRNA from 1 species